rnacentral:rRNA from 1 species
GACGAACGCUGGCGGCGUGCUUAACACAUGCAAGUCGAACGGAAAGGCCCUGCUUUUGUGGGGUGCUCGAGUGGCGAACGGGUGAGUAACACGUGAGUAACCUGCCCUUGACUUUGGGAUAACUUCAGGAAACUGGGGCUAAUACCGGAUAGGAGCUCCUGCUGCAUGGUGGGGGUUGGAAAGUUUCGGCGGUUGGGGAUGGACUCGCGGCUUAUCAGCUUGCUGGUGGGGUAGUGGCUUACCAAGGCUUUGACGGGUAGCCGGCCUGAGAGGGUGACCGGCCACAUUGGGACUGAGAUACGGCCCAGAAUCCUACGGGAGGCAGCAGUGGGGAAUAUUGCACAAUGGGCGGAAGCCUGAUGCAGCAACGCCGCGUGCGGGAUGACGGCCUUCGGGUUGUAAACCGCUUUCGCCUGUGACGAAGCGUGAGUGACGGUAAUGGGUAAAGAAGCACCGGCUAACUACGUG